rnacentral:lncRNA from 1 species
AUGGCCAGGGGACAGAGCAAAGCGGAGAGCAUGGGCAAAACCCCAGAGGUGACAGACAGACAGAGCAGUCCAGGAACUGCGGGUCCCCAGCUAGAGGGGACACCGGGAGGAAGAGGGGAGCAGCGGGGGUCCCAGAGGGAGCCCGGGCCGGGUCGGGCCGCGCCCGUGAGCCCUGCUGCAGAGUUUGGACUUCAUCCUGGGGGACACGGGGACUCCCGGGCCGGGGGUGGACACCAUGGGUUAGAGGCCAUGGGAUGUCCCCGGCCUGGAAAUCGGGCUGGAGCAGAGGCCGGGAAGCCUGCCCCGGGAUCCCAGCGGGCGGGAGGACGCCUGAGAAGGGGCAGAGGCGGCUGGGAGACGUUUAAGAAGCAGGGCUCGGCUAUAGCAUGCUGCGGCGGGCGCGGGGGUCGCGUCCGCGGUCGGACGGCGGGCUCCCCGAGGCGGGGGCGCGUCCCCAGGAGGGUGGGCACCCACCCCACGUUAGAAGGCUGCAUGGACGGGAACACGGCUCUGCCGGAGCCGGGGACGCUGGCCCGCGCUCCCAGCACCCCCGUCCGGGGCCCCCCGGCCGGGAGUGCGGGGUCUCGGGGGCGUCCGACCCGGCUGCCCUGGCCUCGAGGCCCGGCCCGGCUCCCCAAACGGCCGUGGCGGCACCGAGGCCGCCCCGCGCCGCCGCGCUCGCCCCUGCCCGGCACUCACCGCCGCGGCUCGCGCCCCUCGGCCCCGGGGCCGCGCUCCAUGGCUCCCGGCCGCCCGCCCGUGCGUCCGUCCGUCCCUCGGCGCCCGGGCCCGGCCUCCUGCGCCGCCGCCGCCGCCGCCGCCGCCGCCGCUCCCCUGCGGGCGGAAGUCAGCCUCGCUCCCGCCACCGCCCCGGAAGUGACGCGCGGGCGCGCGUUGGGGGCCGGAGGGACUGGGGACCCGGCGCCGGCGCGGCGCGCGUCAGGGGGCGGGGCCUGUAAGGGGGCGUGGCCGAGCGUGGGACCAGGGCCGAUUUGUGGUUGGUGGGGCCAGGAUUGUGGGCGGGGCUUUUAUCCGCUGGUGGAGCAGAGGGGCGGGGUUGGGUGGGCGUGGCCAUCGUGGGUGGGCGUGUCCUGGCGGAGUGGGCGGGGCCCGAGUUUCCAGCCUCGGUUUUCAGCGGAGACAGCAUCAUUCAUUUUUUCUUUCGCUCCUUCCAGGACUGGGAUUAGGGUGAGGCGACUGAGGCACUCGCCCCGGAAACAAUAUUUACAGAGGCGCCGAAAAACUCAGUCAUCGACCUAA